rnacentral:sRNA from 1 species
AGGACCCAGGGCCAGCCGUUGGCAGAGAGGUGACCAAGAAACGUACAUGGAGACCAGGCUUGGCUGUGGGGCAGAGCUGCCAGGGGUUGGCUAGGCUAUCAGACAGGGAGGGUGUGGUAUGGAUGUGUUGACCCCUGAAGUGGUUCUGAUGACUUUUCCCUAUCUCACUCUCCUCAGACAUCAUCAUGAUGGAGGACCUGCCUGGCCUAGCCCCAGGCCCAGCCCCCAGCCCAGCCCCCAGCCCCACAGUAGCCCCUGACCCAGCCCCAGACGCCUACCGUCCAGUGGGGCUGACCAAGGCCGUGCUGUCCCUGCACACACAGAAGGAAGAGCAAGCCUUCCUCAGCCGCUUCCGAGACCUGGGCAGGCUGCGUGGACUCGACAGCUCUUCCACAGCUCCCUCAGCCCUUGGCGAGCGAGGCUGCCACCACGGCCCCGCACCCCCAAGCCGCCGACACCACUGCCGAUCCAAAGCCAAGCGCUCACGCCACCACCAGAACCCUCGGGCUGAAGCGCCCUGCUAUGUCUCACACCCCUCAC